rnacentral:rRNA from 1 species
UACGAGUGCCCCAAGCGUUAUCCGGAAUUACUGGGCGUAAAGGGUGUGUAGGUGGUUGUAUUAGUCUUCUGUUAAAUUCUUCGGCUUAACCGGGGGCAUGCAGGGGAAACGGUACAACUAGAGGAUAUGAGGGGUGAAUGGAACUCAUGGAGUAGGGGUGAAAUCCGUUGAUAUCAUGGGGAACACCAAAAGCGAAGGCAGUUCACUGGCGUAUUCCUGACACUGAAACACGAAAGCGUAGGUAGCGAAUGGG